GACGAACGCUGGCGGCGUGCCUAACACAUGCAAGUCAGGGAGAAUAGGGUAGCAAUAUCCUUAGUAAACCGGCGAACGGGUGAGUAACACGUAGAUAAUCAACCUUGAAGUUGGGACGAACCUCGCGAAAGCGGGGCUAAUACCGAAUGACACAACCGGUUCUUAUGGAUUGGUUGUCAAAGCUUCCGAGCGCUUCAAGACGAGUCUGCGUCCGAUUAGCUAGUUGGUGAGGUAAUGGCNCACCAAGGCUACGAUCGGUAGCCGACCUGAGAGGGUGAUCGGCCACACUGGGACUGAGAUAC
rnacentral:rRNA from 1 species